UAGCUCAGCCGGUAGAGCAGCUGGCUUUUAAUCAGUAGGUUGAGUGGUCGAUUCUCGC
rfam:Brugia malayi, FR3, WGS project CAPY01000000 data, contig: ctg1495810